UACAGAGGGGGCAAGCGUUGUUCGGAAUUACUGGGCGUAAAGGGCGCGUAGGCGGCCUUCUAAGUCGAACGUGAAAUCCCCGGGCUCAACCCGGGAACUGCGUCCGAUACUGGAAGGCUUGAAUCCGGGAGAGGGAUGCGGAAUUCCAGGUGUAGCGGUGAAAUGCGUAGAUAUUGGGAGGAACACCAGUGGCGAAGGCGGCUCACUGGACCGGAACUGACGCUGAGGCGCGAAAGCGUGGGGAGCAAACGGG
rnacentral:rRNA from 1 species